AUUGCACAAUGGGGGAAACCCUGAUGCAGCCAUGCCGCGUGUGUGAAGAAGGCCUCGGGUUGUAAAGCACUUUCAGUAGGGAGGAAGGUAGUGUAGUUAACACCUGCAUUAUUUGACGUUACCUACAGAAGAAGCACCGGCUAACUCCGUGCCAGCAGCCGCGGUAAUACGGAGGGUGCGAGCGUUAAUCGGAAUUACUGGGCGUAAAGCGCAUGCAGGCGGCCUGUUAAGUCAGAUGUGAAAGCCCGGGGCUUAACCUCGGAAUUGCAUUUGAAACUGGCAGGCUAGAGUCUUGUAGAGGGGGGUAGGAAUUUCAGGUGUAGCGGUGAAAUGCGUAGAGAUCUGAAGGAAUACCAGUGGCGAAGGCGGCCCCCUCGGACAAAGACUGACGCUCAGAUGCGAAAGCGUGGGGAGCAAACAGGAUUAGAUACCCUGGUAG
rnacentral:rRNA from 1 species